AUGUAGCUUAAUAUAACCAAAGCAAAGCACUGAAAAUGCUUAGAUGGAUCUUAACAAUCCCAUAAACA
rnacentral:tRNA from 1 species